rnacentral:rRNA from 1 species
AGAGUUUGAUCCUGGCUCAGGAUGAACGCUGGCGGCGUGCUUAACACAUGCAAGUCGAGCGAAGCGGUUUCAAUGAAGUUUUCGGAUGGAAUUGAAAUUGACUUAGCGGCRGACGGGUGAGUAACGCGUGGGUAACCUGCCUUACACUGGGGGAUAACAGUUAGAAAUGACUGCUAAUACCGCAUAAGCGCACAGGGCCGCAUGGUCUGGUGUGAAAAACUCCGGUGGUGUAAGAUGGACCCGCGUCUGAUUAGGUAGUUGGUGGGGUAACGGCCCACCAAGCCGACGAUCAGUAGCCGACCUGAGAGGGUGACCGGCCACAUUGGGACUGAGACACGGCCCAAACUCCUACGGGAGGCAGCAGUGGGGAAUAUUGGACAAUGGGCGAAAGCCUGAUCCAGCGACGCCGCGUGAGUGAAGAAGUAUUUCGGUAUGUAAAGCUCUAUCAGCAGGGAAGAAAAUGACGGUACCUGACUAAGAAGCCCCGGCUAACUACGUGCCAGCAGCCGCGGUAAU